rnacentral:rRNA from 1 species
AGUCGACGAUGAUCCCCAGCUUGCUGGGGGGAUUAGUGGCGAACGGGUGAGUAAUACGUGAGUAACCUGCCCUUGACUCUGGGAUAAGCCUGGGAAACUGGGUCUAAUACUGGAUACGACCUUCCCACGCAUGUGGUGUUGGUGGAAAGCUUUUGUGGUUUUGGAUGGACUCGCGGCCUAUCAGCUUGUUGGUGGGGUAAUGGCCUACCAAGGCGACGACGGGUAGCCGGCCUGAGAGGGUGGACGGCCACACUGGGACUGAGACACGGCCCAGACUCCUACGGGAGGCAGCAGUGGGGAAUAUUGCACAAUGGGCGCAAGCCUGAUGCAGCGACGCCGCGUGAGGGAUGAAGGCCUUCGGGUUGUAAACCUCUUUCAGUAGGGAAGAAGCGAAAGUGACGGUACCUGCAGAAGAAGCGCCGGCUAACUACGUGCCAGCAGCCGCGGUAAUACGUAGGGCGCAAGCGUUAUCCGGAAUUAUUGGGCGUAAAGAGCUCGUAGGCGGUUUGUCGCGUCUGCCGUGAAAGUCCGGGGCUUAACUCCGGAUCUGCGGUGGGUACGGGCAGACUUGAGUGAUGUAGGGGAGACUGGAAUUCCUGGUGUAGCGGUGAAAUGCGCAGAUAUCAGGAGGGACACCGAUGGCGAAGGCAGGUCUCUGGGCAUUAACUGACGCUGAGGAGCGAAAGCAUGGGGAGCGAACAGGAUUAGAUACCCUGGUAGUCCAUGCCGUAAACGUUGGGCACUAGGUGUGGGGGACAUUCCACGUUUUCCGCGCCGUMGCUAACGCAUUAAGUGCCCCGCCUGGGGAGUACGGCCGCAMGGCUAAAACUCAAAGGAAUUGACGG